rnacentral:rRNA from 1 species
GCUUACGGCCAUACCAGCCUGGGUACGCCCGAUCUCGUCUGAUCUCGGAAGCUAAGCAGGGUCGGGCCUGGUUAGUACUUGGAUCGGAGACCGCCUGGGAAUACCAGGUGCUGUAAGCA